UGCCCUAGUAACGGCGAGUGAAGCGGCAAGAGCUCAAAUUUGAAAUCUGGCCCUCUCAGGGUCCGAGUUGUAAUUUGUAGAGGGCGCUUUGGCGUUGGCCCCGGCCUAAGUUCCUUGGAACAGGACGUCACAGAGGGUGAGAACCCCGUACGUGGCCGCCGGCCUCCGCCGUGUAAAGCCCCUUCGACGAGUCGAGUUGUUUGGGAAUGCAGCUCUAAAUGGGAGGUAAAUUUCUUCUAAAGCUAAAUACUGGCCAGAGACCGAUAGCGCACAAGUAGAGUGAUCGAAAGAUGAAAAGCACUUUGGAAAGAGAGUCAAAAAGCACGUGAAAUUGUUGAAAGGGAAGCGCUUGCAGCCAGACUUGCCUGUAGUUGCUCAUCCGAGCUCCCGCUCGGUGCACUCUUCUGCGGGCAGGCCAGCAUCAGUCCGGGCGGUCGGAUAAAGGCCUCGGGAAUGUAGCUCCCCUCGGGGAGUGUUAUAGCCCGGGGUGCCAUGCGACCAGCCUGGACUGAGGUCCGCGCAUCUGCUAGGAUGCUGGCGUAAUGGCUGUAAGCGGCCCGUCUUGAAACACGGACCAAGGAGUCUAACAUCUAUGCGAGUGUUUGGGUGUCAAGCCCGGGCGCGCAAUGAAAGUGAACGGAGGUGGGAACCCCUCGGGGCGCACCAUCGACCGAUCCUGAUGUCUUCGGAUGGAUUUGAGUAAGAGCAUAGCUGUUGGGACCCGAAAGAUGGUGAACUAUGCCUGAAUAGGGUGAAGCCAGAGGAAACUCUGGUGGAGGCUCGCAGCGGUUCUGACGUGCAAAUCGAUCGUCAAAUUUGGGCAUAGGGGCGAAAGACUAAUC
rnacentral:rRNA from 1 species